GCCCGUGCGGAGCAGAGAGCCGGGGCUGGCGGGGGCAGCGAGGCGCGGGCGGCGGAGCGGCGGGAUGCGGCGCUGGCGGGGCGCGGGGCUGGCGGCGCUGGCCGCGGUGCUGCUCGUGGCUGCGGGCAGAGCCCAGGUGCAGCAGGAGCCGUUGGCACAAACCCCCGAGGGCACGGAAAUCACCAUCAACUGCUCACACCCCAGCAUAGGGACUGCUGACUAUAUCCACUGGUACCGUCAGCUCCCGGGCCGCGGCCCCGAAUUCCUCGUGAGCAUUCACAAAGGCUCCAGAGAUCUGCCGGACAAGGCGGGCCAGGUGUCGGUGUCGCCAAACCGUCGCUGGAGCACCCUCUGUCUCUCCGGGCCCCGUGUUGGGGACGCGGCGGUGUAUUACUGCGCCGUGGGAGACACGGCCAGAGGAGCCGGGGCUGCGGCCGGGCACGAACCGCCGCGGGCGGGGCCGGGCGGGGCCGGGGGCACAGCGCCGGCCGGGGCCAGCAGGGGCCGCUCCUGCACCUCCAGAUUUCUUUCUCAAAUCAUGUCCCGCCUUCCUGGGCCCCCGUGUUUCAAAGGGCUGCUUUCCAAGGGCCUUUCCGAAUCGGUGUCCUCAACAGGCCCAAGUCCAACCUCCAGAAGUCGAGGGUACAGGUUUGGUUGAUGCUCCCCCUUAUUUCCCCAAGCUUGGAAAACUCUAUCAUUUCUUGGUUGCUGUGCUCCAGAUGGCCUUUGAUCAGCACAUCUCUCACCAACCCUCCUCUGUUUGCAAACAGCAGGUCUAGGUGCUGUAUAAACUGCCUGACAAUCAAAAAAAUUAAAAUUCCACCGAUGGCAUUGGUCUUUAUGCCAGAGCAGAUGCAGGAAAUCGGACAUAAGACUGUAGGGGCUGCCAAGAGAAAGUUUCACCAGUCACAAGGGAUGAGAUGUACAUGUUACAGCAUCGUCUCCCCCAGACUGGCAGCCAACUCCUCAGCACAAACCCUCUGUGGGGAGCAAGGAAGCAGUGAAGAGCUCUGCACCCACCUGCAGCUCUGCUGGGAAGUGCAAUCCCACAAUCCUUGUCCUUGCUGAUGUGCCCGUUCUCCUGUAGGUUCAGUGUCACAGGGAUGUCACCUCCCGCAGUAUGUCACUGUCUCCCUGUCCCCA